UACGUAGGGGGCAAGCGUUGUCCGGAAUCAUUGGGCGUAAAGCGCGCGUAGGCGGCCCGGUAAGUCCGCUGUAAAAGUCCAGGGCUCAACCCUGGAAAGCCGGUCGAUACUGCGGGUCUCGAGUCCGGGAGAGGUGAGUGGAAUUCCUAGUGUAGAGGUGAAAUUCGUAGAUAUUAGGAAGAACACCAGUGGCGAAGGCGGCUCACUGGCCCGGUACUGACGCUGAGGCGCGAAAGCGUGGGGAGCAAACAGG
rnacentral:rRNA from 1 species